rnacentral:lncRNA from 1 species
AAUUGCAAAAAAAUAACAAUUAAAUAAAACUAUUUUGAGCAUGAUUUUUGUGCAGGUAAAACAUCAUGAAUUUUCUGCAGAAUAGCAAAUAGUAAUAAAAUAAACUAUUUUUGCUGUCAUUUUUCCUUUAACAUCAACAUGAAUUUCAUUGUAAAAACAAGUUGUUUGCUGUAAAAUAGUAAAAACCAACAAAAAAAUUCAAAGAGUAAGAUGUACCUUCAAUAACCUUGCAAUUGCCUUGGCUUGGUCCUUACUAAUAGGCCUACUUUGAUCUUGCCUUUCACCUAGAUCUAAACAAUUAUCUCUAUUAGAUUAUUGUUGAUUUAGUAGAAAUUGAGAUCCAUUGAUUUCCUUCAUGAAUUCUUCUCUAAAUUUGAUCAUUCUCUGUAUGAAAAUCUUAUUUUCUUUUUCUUCAAAAAUAUCAUCUAUAUCCAUUGCUAUGGAUUUUUGUUUUUCCCUUCCAAAAGAUUGAUGUUAUUGCAAGCAAACCGAGCUUGAAGAUUCCACUAUCCAAGCCUUACAAUACAAGGCUUCAAGAAGUUUACAAUUGACUUCCAAGGUGUCAAUAAACCUUUUCAAUGCAAAAUGAACACAUUUUUUCUUAACAUGUGUUUCCCACACUAACAAACACUCACUUUUGAAAUAUAACAAUCAAUUUUACAAAGUUACUCUUUUUAAAAUUAUAUAGGCAGAUGAUAGCUCAAAAGUUAUAUCAAUGAAUAUGUGUAAGCAAAUGAGAGCUCAAAAUGCUUUCAAAUCCUGAUAAAGAUUACAAAAAUUCGUAUUUGAAAUGAGUUUUCCUCAUUUAUUUAUAGAUUGAACAAUAAAGUUGGCAGUUAUUGACUUUUUGGGCAUAACCAAUUUAACCUUUUUCUUGAAAUGGUUUGCCAUUUGCUUAUCUGGCAAGUUACCGUUAUGCCUGAAUUGGAAAUUUUUACAUAUUUAGUUUGCCACUUGUAAGAUAUCAAUUUAUUGUUUGACCCUAGAGAGUCAUUUAGAUACAAUUGGUUUGCCAUGUAGAUUCCAAAGAGUCACUGACUAAAGCCGGUUUGCCUCUUGCAAGUAAUUGGUUUGCUGUUUGAUUCUAAAGAAUCAUCCAUCUAAAUAACAAGAAUUGCUAGAUCUGUAUAACCUAGUCCAUUGUUCUCUAUGUCCUAGUCACUUUAUCAUCCAUGUCUAGAGAAAAGCAUGGCUUAUUGUUUAGUGUGUUAAGCACUUAUGUUUUAUCUCAAAAAUAAAUCUAAAUGAACUUGGCAUGAAAAAUAUAAUUUGAACUCCAAAUAUAUUUCACCUUGGUCAAGGAUUUCUCAUGCCAAUCUAUAUUAUCUUACAAGGGACAUCCUUUUGUUUAUUAUAAAGUGAUGAAUUCCAUAUCAAUAAUACACUUGUCUCAACAUGUAGGCAACCAUGACAACUAUUGCUAGAUGUCUUUCUUAAAUAGGAAUCAAUCCUUAUGCUUGCACAUAUCACAGAUGUCUAUGUACAAGACAUCUGUGAUGCCUCAUGUCUAAAGAUCAUUGCUAAACAUACUGCCUAUUACAAUAUGGCUUACUAUUAUUUGGGCAUUAACACUCAAAGUCAUAUGGCUUACUAUUAUUUGGUCAUGUUCAGUAAACAUGUUGUUGCAACAAGUGCCUAUGUGUUUGACUUGACAUCACAUGUCAAUGAUAUGAAACUCACCAUCCAUUUUAGUAUCACAUAUCAUAAAAGAGUCAUAACACAUACUAGUGUUUAAAGGAAUUUUUUAUGUCUAAUCAUAAAUCCACCACUAGGAACUAUUUUAGAAGUAUAGUACAAAGGAUACGUGUGUCA